CUGUGCUGAGGUGCACCUCAAGUGGACACCGUCUCCUCCCAGGCAGCCUGGUGAACCCAGCCUCCCUCAGUUACAUUGAAUGCAUCAGACCCCCAGGCACAACCCCUCCGGUGGGGGCUGCAGGCCAAGCCUCUGAACCACCUGCAUCCUAGGAGUGGAGUCUCCAGGGCCUGGAGCAGCGGGUAGUUGGUGUGGCUGUGCACACCAGUGGAGGAGCCACCCUGCCUCUGCCCGCUUCUGGGGGGCCAGCACCCUUGGCUGUGGCGCCACCCAGCCACACACCUGUCUGCCCACGUCUCUCCCCAUCUUCUAUGGACACCAGCGGUUGGAUCCAGGGCGACUCCAUCUGAGCUCAUGCAUCUGCAGCAGCCCAUCUCCACCUGAGGCCACACCCACAAGUGCUGGGGUCAGGACUCAACACAUCUUUUCAGGGAACACAAUUUUACCCACAACAGCAGGAAAGGGACCACAACAGGCUACAGAGCAGGCACACACGGGACUGGCUGGAGGCACCGGUGCAGGGAGUCCCGAGCUGAAGGAGAGGGCCUGCCUGUUGCCACAGUCUGGGCAAGAAGAGUCUGUUCAUGCUGUCACGUGUGAAGGCUGCACUGGCCAGGGACCAGGCCUGGGCACCAGGGAUGUGGCCACCAACUGGGUCAGCUAGAAGUGAAGCCCACCCCCAUGGCCAGCGCCUCACAGCACAGCAGGCCUGGCCCGCACCACAUGGGGGACCCCAACCCACCUGCACAUGCAGGCCUCCGGGGAGACAGCACUGCCUCACUAGAUGGAACAAAGCACGCGGUGUUCUCGAGAAGGAACAGCUUCCCAGAAAGAGGAAACCCCUAACGCCGAGGCCGUGCCAGAGAGUGAGGAGAACACGCUUGCUCCGAAACAAAGGACCCACUGAUGUCACACCAUGUCCGAGAAAUUCUCGAUGAGAGCCCCAGAUGGCAGGAUGCGUAAUAUAAACAUAACUGACACGCCAACUGCCUGGGCCGGAGUGGAGAGCCCCAGAGGAUGCGGGGUGAGGGAGAACUUACGAGCGCGAUUCCAGCACAAUUCAUUACAUUCUUUCUAAAGAGAAGCUACAGGGAAAAGGCCUACGGUAUGUCUUGAACACGCAGAACUGGUAAAAACAAGACUUAAAAAUUAAACGUGAACUUUUCAAAUAAAAACCUCUAGGUUAACAUUUAUGCACAAUACCAACAUCAGGCGUUUGGGAUGUGACACUUAUUCUGUGCCUACAGGAAGUUUCCAGGGAAUGCACAGGGGUGCAGGAGGCCUCUGCUUUUCCUGAGGGACCUCUGGUGCUCACCAGGUGCAGAUGCAGCCCGUCCUGACGCCCAGGCUUUGCUUCCACGGCAGCUGCUGCAUUCACGGCUCUCCCACAAUCCCUCCAGACCCUGCGCAUGAGGGUUUUGAAGAAGUCACCUUGAGCCUCCAGGUACCCUGAGCCCCAGGGCAGAACUUGGAAUCCCACCAGGCGGUGGCUGGCAUGCGUAUCCCACACACGAGUGGGGCUGGGGGUGUCCCAGGCCUGAGGAGUCGUGGGAGGAGAGGCCCCAGGGGUAAUGAAGGCAUGGGAAGUAACAAACCCUAGAAGACAGCAAUGAUACGUGCAGUCAGCCUGGGCACACGCCGGGCAGGUGGCCAAGAAAGAAUGAUGCAUUUCAGGGAAAUGAGGGAGGUGAGCCGGGAUGAGGCCCAGCCUUGGGUGGGUCAGGGGUCAGCCUGCUGAGGCCCCAGCCCCAACUCCAGCCACCCAGUCCAACUCUCAUAGGGGGCUGUGCGGUGUCGUGUGGAUGUGGCUGGUUCACACCUGCAGUCAGCUGGCUCUGAGUGGAGCGUGUGCCCCCCCCCCCAGAGUGGGCUGGGCCUCAUUCAAUCCUUGCAAGGCCCUAAGAGAACAGGAAGGGGUCCCCUGGACAAUCGGACACCUGCCUACAGACUGCCACACGGAAAUCCCGCCUGGGUCUCUGCCUGUGCCUGCACUACUGAGGUCAGAAGUGCCAGCCCAUGACACGGCGCACACAGAUGCACCAUGCACGUCCAUGCAUCUUCUAAGGUUCUGCUUCUCUGAGAAUGUGGGUGGGUCUGGUCUUGAGAGCGCAGGAAGAGCUGAAGGUCUUUAUUUGUUGGCACAUGAGGCAUCAAAGAAAGAGAAAUGCAUCAACAAACUGGCAUCUGAGGAGGACUGAGGGUGAUGGCUGGGGACGUCCCAGUUAAAGGGGGUUAGAGGAGUUGGAUGCUGAAUGUAAAAAAUUUUAGGAAAAUCUAACCAAGUUAUUUUGCUUAGUUUCCUUUUGUGUAUACAUAAAAUUGAUGGCAAAAAUCUGAAUAAGUCAAAUAGAGCUCUUUAAGUAUAAAAUAAAAACUAAGUAAUAAAACUAAAUUCACUUCC